UCUGGCUAUUUUGUGUGUUCCGAUCUGACAGCCCACAUGCCUCUGCUGUACGCCUCGGCCACAGGACACAGAGCACUAAGAAGACAGAGAACCGCCAGUUUGGAUAAUAUCUCAAGGCUUAAUAGGGAAGGAAGGUGGCAUUGAAAAAAAAAAAAUGUCCACAGCAUUACAGCAGCAAUCCUGUGUGGCAUUUUUGGCUCACUCAAGACUGUGGGUAAAUCCUGAGAAUUGGAGCCAAAAAUAAAGCUCAUGAACCUGAAAUUACCAUGAAAUUCUGAUUUUAAGAAGUCCUACUAUGAAAUAGUGAUAUAUUUCUUCAACAAAAUGCCUUGUGAUUCACUGACUGGGAUAAAGGUGCAUUUCCAAAAUACAACUAUGUUCAAUUUCUUAAUUAAACGAUUUAAGAAUAAAACUCUUCAACCAUUUUCCAGAGGAUAAGCUCUCGUUUUCCCAGUCCAUUGGGAAGAGGUGAAAAAGGCACGUUAGAAACUGAAAGGUAAGCUAGCAGGUAAGUCUGUGCCAAUUUUGGGAGGGAGGCAUUACCUUUCAACUUUGAUCUGCAGAUUCACUGGACUGUUUUAAAUAUGACCUUGUCUGACCACAUCUGAGAAACUUGACUUUGAUUUCAGAUUAGGUUUCUCAGAAAGGUUUAGGAAUCAAAGUGCCCAUGGAGUCGGGACAAAAAUUUGAUAUGACAGCUUCUUGUAAAACAGGCAAGAGGCUGGCCCCAGUGAGUGUGCUGAGAUAUGCAAUGUCCAUUGCCUCAUUAGUGAUUACAGAAGUCAUUACCACUCAGAUCAUAAGCUGCUGGCUCAGGUUUUCAAGACACAUUAUUUCCCAAUAUAAUGGUCUUGCUUUUUAGAGGGAAAUGAAUUUAAGAAUGAAGAACAAAAUGUGAAAACGCAAUGAAAACAGAUUUCAAGUGUCAUUUCCUUCUAUUCAAUAUUUCUUAUUUCCCCCACUAACUUUGUGAUUUUGUUAAAUUACCAACAUGCCCUUUUAUGCCUAAUAAAUAGCACCAUGUGAAACAUGUAACUCAUGAAACAUAUUAACUCAACCACUAUUACCAAGCAUGCUCACAGUUAUCCAUUCAUAAAUGUACCAGACAUGUUUUUCUAGUAAACACAAACCACUAUAAAAAGUUCAAUAGUUGCUCAUAGAGAAAUGUGAAGUACGUAUAUUAAUACAUUUGGCUUUAAUUUUUUUUAACUUUAGGAGGUGAAAAUAUUGCUGUUUUCAUUUGAGCUCUAAUCUUAUGAAUAUUAUGAUUUGGAGUAGUCAUUCUGAAAAUCUUAAUGGAGUAUACAGGAUGGAAGGAAGCCAUCCAACUUGAAAUAUCUAUACCAAAACAAAAAUAUUCAUCAUUCAACCUACAGUGUUUGAUCUAUAUAAAGACUUUGCGAUAUAAUUCUAGAAGGCUUUUAGAAUGAAGUUCCUAGAAGUAUCUCCACAAAUCUCUAAAAGUGUGCUGAUGACUUGCACACAGAUAAUCCCUACCAAUAGUGACCAAUUUUAAUAUUUUAAAAUGUUUCUCUGAAAAGAAAAUAAUAUAAGCGUUCAAUUAGAUUUGGAAUGAAUUCAUUUAUUUAUUCGACAAACAUUUAUAGAGCACCUACAAUGUUCCAGAAAUUAUGCAAAAUACUGGAAAUGUAGCGAUAAACAAAAUUGACAAGUCUCUGUCUUCAUGGAGCUUACAGACCAGUGAGGGAAGCUGACAUUAAUUAAGUGAUGACAAAAAUAAAUAUAUGAUUAUUCAUUGAGAUAAGUACUAGCAAACAAACAGGCUGGAAUGGUUGGAAGAGGGCUCACUGAGGUACUUCCUGGGGUCAGGCAGCAAAGCUAUGAGCUACAAUUAUGAGUUUGGAUUUUAUUCUGCACAAGAUGAAAAAUCACUGAAGAGUUUCAAGUCAGAGUAAGACAUGGUCUGAUUUUUGUUUCAAAACAUUUACUUUGCCUGAGUAGAGCCCAAGUGGGAAUACAGUGUGAGUGGAAAUGAGAACGUCACUCAGGAAUGCUUAGGUAGGGAAAGUUGGGAGGCUGAGGCAGGAGAAUGGUGUGAACCCGGGAGGCAGAGCUUGCAGUGAGCCGAGAUAGCGCCACUGUACUCCAGCCUGGGCGAAAGAGCAAGACUCCGUCUCAAAAAAAAAAAAAAAAGACGUAUUUUUUUGAAGUAGAAAUGAUGGAUCCACUCUAGGGUGGAGAGGAAAGGGCAGUAUCAGGGAUAACUUUCAGGUUUCUGGUUUGGGCAAUUGGGUAGAUAGUGAUAACACUUACAGAGAUGGGGAAAACUGGGAUAUACAGCAUUGGGAGUCAAAGAUAUAUUUAUUUCUAGGAAAUGAGUUGAACUUAAAGGAUAUAGAAUCAUGGGUGGUAAAAUUUGCUUGACUAGGGUGAAGAAACAUAGUUGUGUCAGAGUAAUCAAAUGAACAUGGGUGACCUUAACACAAGUCUAUCUGUAGGGACAGUCACUUCAAUAUACAAAUAGUCCAAACAAGCUGUCUCUUAAUAUAUAAGGGAAAAGAGAGUUGUUAGAAAUAUUAAUUUAGUAAUCUACUGUGGUCAUCAGAAGUUACAGCCUAAAAGUUGGCAACAACCUGUAGAGGAAGAAUUGGAAAAGGUACAACUCUCUCACAUUUAUGAGCCAGGCACUGCCCUAAGACUUUAUACACAUCAUCUAAUUUAAUCAUCCCAAUAACCCAGUGAAACUCAGUAAUAGAGAUAGGUACUAUUAGUGGAGACAGUUGGUGUUUUCAGAAUGGCAUAACCACCAUGCUUUAUAUAGUGCUUCCCACAUGACUUCAACACAAAUGAAUACAUUUCUGUUGGAAACAAUAACAGCACAGUGAAAAAUAGUUAAAUUAUCACCAACCUCACUGAUAAAAAUUCAUCUGAGGUAUAACUGACAUCUAUUGCUAAUGGAAUGAAGAUGAAUGAAGUAGCUUCUAAAUACAAUGCCUUAUCUUUUCACUAUCUGGACUAGCUGCAACCUACCCAUUCCAGGGUUUUGUUUUUGUUUUUAAAUUUGGGGACUUGACUGGAAUUGACUUGGAAAAAACAAUGCAGCACUUGCCAUACUUAUUAUCUGCCUAAUAUUGUUAAGAUCUAAAGGCAAUUAGGAAAUUCUCAAGGUAUCUAAUCUGAUAGCAAAUACUCUUCUUUUAAUGCUUUCUAACUUACCAAUGAAGAAAAGCAGCUGCUCGUGGAAAUGUUCAAAUCUAACAGGUUUAUUAAUGGGCCUACUAUGACCUGAUAGAGGGGCUAUCAUUUUGAUAAUCAAAUAAACACAAGUUUCAGCUCUUACAUUCUGAGGGAAAUUUCCAUCAGAUCAUUUCCAGUCCUUUCUCAGGCACUGACUUUUACAUCACCAUGUGUCACUGAGACAUAAUCGUUAAAUUUAGUGUGUCACCUAGUACGUGCUAUUUAUUGGUUACACAUCUGAUAGUUCUUGCUCUAGGGAAUAUUUAAUUCCUCAAAUUCACAGCCAAAAAGCCUCCUACUUUGCCAAUAGGACUCUGACUUUUUUUUCUUGGGAAACAACCCAACUUUGUGUAACAGAAUGAUUUUCCUCCCAACUUUGAGCAAGACUCCCAGACAAUGUAAUCUCUGUUUGUUACUUAGCAGCACCAAGGUCAGCAUCCCAAGUGCCUGGGUAUUCAGGCUUUUGUUUCUGUUGGGUGGCUUGAAGGGGAUGUUGAAAUGUGGUGUUUUGUUCAGAGAUUGUGUUAACACUUUUCACUAAUUAAGGUCUAAGAGCUUGAAAUCCUUGCAUUUCAAUUCAUCUGGUGGAAAGGAAACUCAAGACAUGGGCCGUCUGUUCUUAACCUCUAUCGAGGGCUCUCUCUCAAGAAGUAGCACUGGAUAUGGUGCAGACGAAUUUGGGUUUGGUGUGCUGUCUCUGGUUUUAGGGAUGCCCCACAUUGGUCCUUUCACUUAUACAGAGGAACAUGGUUUCUUAGUUAUUGAGAAGCCAGAAAACAGCCCUGGUGUGUCUGCCUGAAUGAGAAGGGCUGGGGAACUAAAGAGAAUGGGAUCCCUGGGGUUGCUGAGGCUGCCAAGGACCUGGACAUCCAAAACAAGAUGGAUUUCUACACAGAGUUGCUAAAGAUACCAUAAAGAACCAAGAAGGAAUAAGAAGGGGAAGGUAGAGGUCAGAGAUGUACGCAGGAUCUGGCCAGAAAGAGGCUUCUGGGUGGGGCUGGAAGAUGCAGGGGCUUAGAAAAAGCAGGGGCGGCCGGGUGCGGUGGCUCACGCCUGUAAUCCCAGCACUUUGGGAGGCCGAGGCAGGCGGAUCACAAGGUCAAGAGAUCAGGACCAUUCUAGCCAACAUGGUGAAACCCCAUCUCUACUAAAAAUACAAAAAUUAGCUGGGCAUGGUGGCAUGCACCUGUAGUUCCAGCUACUCAGGAGGCUGAGGAAGGAGAAUCGCUUGAACCUGGGAGGUGGAGGUUGCAGUGAGCCAAGAUCCUCCACUGCACUCCAGCCUGGCGACGGAGUGAGUGAGACUCCAUCUUAAAAAAAAAAAAAAAAAAAAAAAAGGAAAAAGAAAAAAAGAAAAGGCAGGGGCUUAGAAAAAGCACUAGAAGGGGACUGAAUGAGGACCAGGACUGCCUGAGUUAUAGCAGAUGCCUGCUAUGCAAGGACUAAUGCAUGGGCCAGGGGGACAGCCCUAGCAAAGUGUCUGGGCACAGUUCUAUGUAUCUAGGUGAUUCCCAUCCCCAAGUGGUCUGGAUUGAUGAGAUUCUGUAUACAUGAAAUAUGAAAUGGGGGUGCUGACCAACUAGUCCAUAUUUCCAACUACAGGACUGGCUGACAGCAGGUGAGAAAUAACAAGCACUGAAAGGCCAAGAGAAAUGUCAUAUACGAGAACCUAUUACCAAGUUGUCAAGGCUCUUCUGAUCUAAGGAUUUUUGACAACAGAUGGCUAACCAUUACUCAGAUAGGUGUUUUGAGACAGGAGACUGAAGGAAUUACUAUUCAAGGCCUUUCCCUUGUGAGUCUACAGACUAUGAAAAUAACAUCUAAAUCACUUCAUUUAAAAAAUAUUCAGUUGUAUCUUUUCAUACAACAACAAACUCUUCUUGAUUCCACUCUCCUUUUAAUUUUAACAAAACAUAAAAUCACAGCUCAUCUGGAAAGUAUGUCAUCAGAAAGGAUGCAACGCAUAUGCCCAAGGUUCAGGACUGCCUUUGCCAAUGACAGUGACAAAUGAAGUGAAUACUGCAUGAGCGUCACACUGUUGGGGGAGGCAAAGGAGAUGCCAGCCUGUACCUACUGUUCCACUGAAGAAAGACCAUAAACACAAGGAUAUAGAUUUAGUGAUCAAAGUUUCAAACAUUGCUCAGUGGAAGGCCUGGAAAACCAUGUGGGGCUUACCACAUGGAAAAAAGAUAGUAGCUGCAACUCAUACAUGUUUACUUGCUGCUUUCCACACUGUAGUCAGUCAGCAAAUAUUUAUGGAAAUGAAUGAACAUAUGAAAACUAUAGCCAUCACAGAGGUGUACUAUAAACCAAUGUCAUGUUUUUGUAAAGGCCGGAAUGAAAGAACCACCUGGAAUCCGACUCAUGGUGCUAAUGCUGAACUUAUUUGGCACAAGUUAUUUAGAUUCAAAAAGGCCACCCCAAGAGCACUCUCUUUCAGUUUGAGCAGAACUCCUGAAAAUCAUACUAGCUACCUUUCAUUGUGUUCUUAUUAUGAGCAGGAUAUUGGGAUAAAGAACACUGGUUUCUCUCAUUUAAUUCCAACAGCAGUCUGGUGGCUCAGGAGCUAUUAGGAUUUUUUUUGGAUCGAUAAGGAGACUGAGGGUCAAAGAGGUGACGUCACUUGCCCAGGGUCAUAGCACCAGGAAGCAGGAGAGUUAGGCUUUACAUACAGCAUGGCUGGUCACUCUGGCUCAUGACUUUAAUUCCGGAAUUUUGGGAGGCAGAGGUGGGAGGAUCACUUGAACCCAGGAGUUUGAGACCUGCCUGGGCAACAUGACAAGACCCCAUCUCUACAAAAAAAAAAAAAAGAAAAAAGAAAAAGAAAAAUUAGCUGGGCAUGGUGAUGCACAGCUGUUGUUCCAACUGCUUGGGCAACUGAGUUAGGAGCAUUGAUUGAGCCUAGGGGUUUGGGGUUAGUGAGCUAUGACUGUGCUACUGCACUCCAGCCUGGUUGACAGGGCAAGACACACACACACACCGCCCCCCUCCCCACACACACCCCCCAACCACUUUAAUCCUUAAGCUACACUGGAAAAAUGGCCUGGUUAAGACAACCAGUUGCUCACCUCUACUUACCCAUGGCAACAACAGAAAGCAAGGACCUCAGGAAAUGUCUCUUAAGACUUUUAGAGUUGCCUGAUUCCUCAGUCUCCCACGAAGAGAGUAGCUACGCAAUGUUAAUAGCUCUGACUUUAAUGCCUUUUCUCACAACACCUUUAGUGCCUGUGAAGAAAGACACUACAAAAAGCAAACAUACAAUGCCAUAAAUAAAGGGCCACAUUUCCCCUUGACUGAAGCUACCCUACUUUUCUCUUGGACAUUUUUCAGGGUUUAUUAACUCGUUGAGGCCUGCCAGAUGCCACAUAGUAAAUUACUAUUUCCAUUGACGGGUGAAUGCUCUUUACAUGGUCAAGAAGGGAAGGCUGCAGGUUGUAAAUUUUGGCCCCCUGGCAAUUCACCAAGGAAAAAUCUCUUGAAUGCUCAAUCUGCAGGGCAUCUCAAAGAUUAUUCUGUCCAUCUAUUUAUUUUACAAAGUCAAGACUAGAGAAAAGGAGAGAUGUUGUGCCCAAGGUCACACAGCAGGGAAGGAGAAAAUGCAGGCUGAAGAAGCUUCUGUCCCUAGCACAGAAUGCUAUUUGGCUCCAGUCGCAAUGGGGGCUUGGGGCUAGGUUAUGGUGUUGUUCAAAAACCACAGCUAACCACGCACUCUGAUUCUUUCUCACCCCCAAGCAAGAGUGUAACAACCUCUUGUUCCAAAGCACCAGCGAAGAGCAAAUUCCAAGGGGUGCUUGGGUGCUGCCAACACAGGAAAUGGCAGCUGGGGUGGUGGGGAGGGUGCUUGUCUUCAUUUUGCUCUAAAAUGUUGCAAAGGUUUGAGAGUCAGACAGGCCUGGGCUGGAAUCCUACCCUACCUGUCAUUUUACCAAGGUGCCACUAGGGGCAAGUGACUUCACCUCUCUCAGCUCAGAUUUGUUCUCUGUAAGAUGGGAGAAUAGUAGUAUCUGUACCCAAUAUCACUGUGUUACAAUUAAAUGAGACAAUGCAUGCAAAGCUCUUUGUGUUUCAGCCAGACAGCAUACAAAUGGUACAUUUUUUUUUGCAUCAUUACUACUAUUAUUUCUAUUCAGUGGACCCUUUUAGAAUAUCUCUUAACACGAAGUUUAAAAGGUGAGUUUAAAAAAAUUUUGUUAACUAAUGGAGUCUAACAUUCUAACAGAGGCAUUGAUAGGUAAAGGCAGGACUUUGGCAAGAUCUCAUCCCUGUGAAUGGGCAAAGUGCUUUUCUUUCCAAAGGUCCCAGAGAAAUCAAUCCACAGAGCAGUUAUAUACGUUGAAGAUUCCUUCUGUAGUGCCCUUUUCUCUCUUAGAGACUAUUACUUACCAGUAUUGUCUCUUCUCACCAGAGUAAUGAGAGGAAAGAUGCUAUAUCUGAAUGCCACAUCCUUUUCUACUCCAUCAUUCCCUGCUUACACUUAGGUUUUCUCAAGAACUCCUGCGUUUCUCCCUUGUCUUUUGUUAUGCCAUUUCUUUAAAUGUCCUGAGCCACAGAAGCAGCGUCAAUGAUAACCAUUACAGAAUCCACAGUCACUCACUUCCCUGCCACGCCCUGAUCUGCUGUGAGAGUUGUCACAGUCCUUUGUCAAAAAACAUAUCUCCUUAUUGGCAAUGAACUCACUUAGGGGAGGUUUUACAGGCUUCUCACAAAACAAGAAUGGCUCUGAACAGUGGCAGCGACAACCAAAAUAUUGAGGAAAAAUGGAGAGAAAGCUUUACCAGGAAACAAGGGCUGUGACUUCAGGGCGUAAAGCCAGUGUUGACAAGGCCUGCCUGAUGGCUGUUUAUGUCUGGGACCACCCUGGCACUUAUUACCAUGAAAAGGAGCUGACAGCGCCUGAGAUUGGCAGGGAACACCAAGGAAGAAAGCGGAUGUGGGAGUCACGGUCAUCCCAGCCGGAUGGGGCAUUAGGCCAUCCUCCCAUCCCCACUGCCCCCCAACACUCCAGCCUUUGCAAUGCUACAAAGGUCUAAGAAAAGGAACCAAGAUUCACAUGUCAACUCUUGGAGCACAGUCGAAGGCUGCUGUCAAUAUGAGAACCAAGUAGGUGGCCCUGCAUAUGCUUAGUAAAGGAGAUGGCAGGGCCAGGCAAAUAAAGGGAGACAACGAGGGGCUCACAUCUUCCACUCCCACCCCAUCGCCCCCAGGAAUAUGGGGGACAGGGCUCUCCAGUUCCCCAACCUUCGAUCUCACAAUGUAACAACUUCAUAUUAGAGGGGAAAAUAAAUUUUAACAUUAAAUAUAGCAGUAUAUGAAAUUAGUUAUGCAAGCUAUGAAACCCAAAUUAGGGCUCUUUUUGCUCUGCAAGAGUGGAAAUAUUUUACCGUUGUCUUCCCCAUCAAGAAAGAAACAAAAACCAAGGAAAUCUGCAAAUGUAGCACCUGGUGAAUUCUAUCGUGGCUAUAUCCAGGGGUACCCUGGGGAACUGAUGACAAUAAUCACCAGGCAGUGUUACCCCUCAUGUGGGUAACAGGGCUCUAUUACCCUGUUGAUUCCUUAUUCCCAAACACACUGCCUGUUUUUGUAGGACUUCUUUUCCCUUUCAAGGUUUACCUGGUGAUUAUUUGUAACCUGACAUCAGCAGAAUAAUGAUGUUCACAUUUUUCAGGAAAGAGGCGAAGAUAAUACAAGGACCCACUCUAUGCCUGCCAUGGGAUUAUUUAUGAAAGCUGUCUGGAAGACAGGGAGGGCGGUGGGUGAGAAAUUUGUUCCAGAGGUGAGUGAAGUUGUGUCUGAGUAAGUAAUUGGUGGGAAAGCUAUGACUGGUAGGAACAGUGACCAAAGUUUCUCGGUACUCUCAAGGUGGACUGUGAUUGAAGGCCUGGACUGGAGAGUUCAAGGCUACCUGGAGAUGUCAGUCUGCUAGGAGAUGACAGUGCUGGGGCAGACCCACUUGACUUGACUUAUGCUACUGUCAAAAGCAGUCAGGGGACAGAGCUGGAAAGCUUCAGCCACCUUCUGAAAUGCUUCUGUAGAGAAGCGAUCCACGUACCUAACCAAUGUCUGCCCCUUGGAUCUUGUUCUCUUCCCAAAGAACUAUCUAUGUGUCAACAAGUCAUUUAAAAGACACCAGGACACAGUUAAUUCAGUUGCUUCCUUCAGUCUUGCUUUCUCUGCCUGUCUGGCCCUUCUUCUGUAAGCUCAUUGUGAAAGGAGCAUCUUUACAGGCCAGCAUGUCAGGUAGACUAUCCUGAAAAUUUUAUAACAUUUUUGGGAAGCAGCUUAUGUAAUUAAUUUACUUGUGGGUGGAUAUUAAUGCCAACUCCAGAACUAAGAUUUGCAUACGUGUCUGAGCCUGUAUCCAGAGAAAUGUAUCUCAGCAGCAGGGAUAAAGGUCAUUUUAACCAUUAUCAAAUUAGACGCUCAUCCUCCAAUUUAGCAUUGCUCUAUCGGGAGUUUGGACAGCACACAAUCACUCUCAAUAUGCAUUAUUCAAGUCCUUUGUGGCUUUUCUUGUCUCCUCUUCCUGCCUUCCUUUGGUUAAAAAAAAAAAUGGCUCAAAAGUACCACUAUGAAAGUACGGGAUGAGCAGUAAUAACCAGAUAAAAUGUAAAUGGCUCACAGCACAGAAGACUUGGCAAUGAAAAAGGCUAAAAUUACAUAUGAUGGUUUUCUGCAAAUUCAAAUGAUUCCUACACUACUCUGAGAUGUAUUCAGAUGGAAAUCAAAAGAUUGAGGCAGAAGGGUGUAGUGGCUAUGAAUACGGUGUUAGGACAGUCAGACCUGGUCUGACUGGAAAUAUCUUUCUUUGUUAUUUUUGGCAGGAUGCUUAACCACUGCAAACAUCUAUAUUCAAUUCUGUUUAACAGAGAUAUGAAGUGAUGACGCCUACACAUCUCAAACUUAACAUGUUCAAAACAGAAGUCCUGCUCUUCCUCCACAAAUCUGUUCUUCCUGUAGGCUUCCCCAUUUUAAUCGGUGGCAACUCCAUCCUUUCACUUGUCCAGUCCAUAAAACAGGAGUCAUUUUGACCCCUUUCUGACUCUUGCACCCCACAGUCAACUCUCAGCUAAUCCUUUGGCACUAUCUCAAAAAUUCUUCCAAAUCCUACCAUUCCUUACCACUUCCCUUGUGACCACUGUCAUCUGAGCAAUGCUUUCUCUCAUCUGAGUUACUACAAUGGUCUUACCACUUCCAUCUGUGUUCCUCCUGUACCCUCUGCUAAAUUCAGAAGCCAGAGUCAACCUUUAAAAACAAAUUCAUGUUCCUACUUAGUGCCUCCACCCACGUUUUCACUGCCAGUCCCUUCCUAUCUCAAAGUGAAAACAAAAACUCCUUCCAACAGGCUAACCCUCCUUCCUCUACUUGCCCAACAGUCUGCCUCCAUGUUCGUCUCCCUCAGUUUCAUCUGUAAUUUCCUAUCCUAUCAUUCACAUCCUCUGUUCUAGCCACAUUAGUCUCUUUGGUAUCACUAAGAGAUGCCUGGUGUACUCCCGCUUUCAGGCCUUAACCUGUAAUACUCUUCUCCCAGAUACUCACAUGGCUUCCUUUUGUAUUUUCCCCUAUGUUUGCUCAAAUGUCACUUUCUUAAUGGAGACUUCCCUAAACCUCCUUUUAAUUAAUUUAAUUAAGCUCUAACUUAAUUUAAUCUAAUUCUCACCUACUCUUCUAUGCUAUCUCCUAUCCUUCUUCCCUAAUUUAUUUUUAUCUAUGGCAAAUGCCAUCUUCUUUCAUAAUAUAUAUUUGACUUUUUUGAUUUGUUUGUGAUUCGUAGCUUGUCUCCACUCUCCACUAGAAUGUAAGCGUAAUGAGUUCAAAGGUUUUUUUGUGUUUUUUUUUCACUCCUAUAUCCAAAAUGCCUAGAAUGGUACCUGGUUUAUAAAAAACACUCAAACAUUUAUGGAAUGUACAAAUGAAUGCAUGAAACAAGUGAAUAAAUAAUAUCCAAUAGAACCUAGAACCACUUAUCUCACAAGAAUAAAGAUUAAGUAAACAUUCUGCACAAUGCUCAGUUUAUUGUUAGAACCAAAUAAAUAACAAUUGCUGUCUCCUGUCUCUUAUAUCCAUUCAGUCCAAAACUAGCCACAUAUUCUUGUGGUUUAAUAUUUACUCAUAUCUACAGAACUAAAUGCACAGGCGACAUCUAAAGGGAACAUUAUCUGAGAGUAUCAUAUAAAACAAGCUGACAAGAGGCAGAAGCUAGGAACUCAGAAUACUACACUGCCCUGUAAAUGCAAGAAACAUUGACAGUGCAUUCUUAGCCACUGAUCCCACCACAUACCCUGCGUGUCAUAUAAUGUUGUUUCCUCUCCCUGAAGAUGUCAUCUUAGAGUGACAUUUUUGUCAGAUGGGUGCAAAAAUGUAUGUGUGUGUGUGCAUAUAUAUAUAUAUAUAUAUGAAAAACAGAAUACAAUGAAAUGUAAUACUCAAGAAUGGGUUUUAUCCGGGCCAGGUAUUUUCUUUCUUCUGGCUGGAAACAUCUAAAAGCAUAAAACUGAAGAUUCACUCUUCUGUUCCAAAACAAUGUGUGUGAUCCUGAUCAAUUUUUUUAAUAAGUUUUCUUUCAUUUAGAAAAAGCCUUGCUUUCUAAGUAUAGGAUAUCCAGGACUCUAAAACCAAUACCGAGCCCAAGAUUUUGUAGAGUGAAUUUGAUAGAAUGAAAUCAUAGCCACCCUCCUGCAAACUCUCUACAGCCAGUCCCCACCAAGUCUACCUCUUAUGGAGAGUACUUUUUACCCAAAUAUGAGGAUCAGGCCGUGUCCAGAAAGACCAAAUUUUCUUAGCUCAGUAGGACCUUUCCUUACAAAUGUACUAAUUCUCAUCAUUUUAGGAUGCUGUAGAAGUCCAGGGGGAAACUGAUCCAUUUCAAAGCUCUGGCCUGAGGUUGCUGGGUGACCCAGUCCAAAUUUGAGUUUCUUUGAAAGCCAUUCAAAACUAAGUGAAAUGUAAAAAAAGAUCCUAUUCAGAAAUGCAAAUAUUCAGCUAUCUCUGACUUGUGAUAAGUAAAAUAAACAAAAUCAGGAAUCUGGCUAAAAACCCUUGGGAAACAUUCAGAUUCCAAGGACUCAGUCCCAGGGACUUUUAUAAAGCAAAAGAGGGCUGAACUGGUUUCUAUUCAGGCUUGUUUCUUUUAUGCAUCACAAACCAAAAUUCAUGUUUCUAGAAGUUUUGAAAGCUCCCCAAGAGAGGCAGUGGAAAAACAUGGGGCUUUGGAGUCCAUCAGGUCUGGAUCCAAUAAUUACUGACUGUAUAAUUAUUGGGAACCUUUCUUAACUUCCCUAAAUCUCAGUUUUCCUAUCUGCACGAUAGACAUCAUACGACCUGUUUUGCAAGGAUUAUAAGAGGAUUGGCAAUAAUGCACACAAAGGACCUGGUCAAGGCCAGGGCUCACAUCAAAUGUUUAACAAAUGAGGGCCUUUGUUAUUAUUUUCCACUUCUAGUCAAAUCCAUUUGGCCAAUUGCAAAUGGGCGCCUUUAUGUGCCACAUCAGGAAAUGUAAGACAAUUAAUUGUCCAUCAGUUGGUAACUACUGAAGUGGAGAAGGCCAUUCAUUCAGAGCAGUGAGCUUUUUGGUGGUGGUGAUGUGUCUUUGUUUAGGGGCAAUUUUUCUUUUUAAAAAAAUUUUUAAUUUUAUUUAAAAUUUUAAUCUAUUUAUUUAUUUAUUUAGAGACCAGGUUGUGAGACUGGCUAAUUUUUGUAUUUUUGGUAGAGAUGGGAUUUCACCACGUUGCCAAGGCUGGUCUCGAACUCCUGGGCUCAAGCAAACCACCUGCCUUGGGCUUCCCAAAGUGAGUCUGCAUGCCUGGCCAAGAUUUCUCAUUUUUUAGGGAUUCUUUCCUAGGCAAAACAUUUGCAUGUGCUCAAUUUAUAGCCUAGAAUUACCGGUAAGAUUACAGUUAGGCAAAAGUCAAAAUUCAAUUUCUAAUUUUAAAGGGCUUUUCACAUAGCCAAUUGGUAAUUUAAGGUUCCAAUUAAUUCUGAAAGACAGCAUCCACUUUCCUUAUGGAAAACCAAGAUCUCUUCCACAUUGGGCACCAGUGCAUAAGUCUGUUCUUUAAUACAUAUUUCUGUGGUCUUCCAUCAAAUAAAGUUUGAACAUUGCAGGGAAAAUCCAAUGUUUCAUUAGAGUGUAGGUCCCACCAUAAAAUUUCUGAGGUUGAUGACAGUGUCUUGGGUUUAUUUUCUUUGCCUUUCCUCUACCAAUAGAUUUCUUCUCCAGUCUCAAAGCUUUGGAGUCACUACUAGUGUUUAUGGCCAUUGUUAAUGACCUUUUUAAAGGAAAAGAAUUGAGAUUGAUUUUCCUUCUGGGACCAAGACAUAUCAUCUAAAAUGUUUUCUGACCCUCUGAUCUCAGAGUUGUGCCUGCCAUUUUGAGUGUGUUUGUGUGGCAUGGGGGUUGGGGUUGGGAAAUAUAUAGCAUUUGCCAUCUGCUAGAGGAGCAAAGAUUUGCAGAGUGGAAAAGAGGAGGUGCGAGGAGGUAGAACUGCAGAAACUUGCUUCCCCAGAAGUUCAUGUAUAGGAAAGCCAAGUUAAUGCCACAUAUUUGGAAAAGGUGAUCUCCUAUGUAUAGUUUUCUCUGAUAGGUUUUUUAAAAACCCAGACAAAGUGGAAACGUCUGACUAUGAAAACUUGGUGAUCUCUACAAUAUAAGGAUUUCACUUCCCUUUGAGGAGGAAGGGAAUGAUUUUAUAACCUCAGACUUCUCUGACUUAGCAAAUAGGGACUUAGUAUCAGGUAUGUCUGGUAAAUGCUGAUGUUCUACCCCUCUAAUGCCCAUAGGAAUAUGGAAAGAGAAAUUCUGCUGUGAGAAAUUCAUAGAACUACCUGGCAGAAAAGGAAGGGUGAUAUUGCCUCCCAGGGAACAUUUGGCAACGUCUGAAGAUAUUUUUCACUGUCACAACCGAGGGGGUAUGCUAUUGGCAUCCAGUAGGUAGAGGUCAAGGAUGCUGAUAAGCAUCUACAAUGUCCCAAACAGUCCCUACAACAAAAAAUUAUCUGGCCCCAAAUAUGAAUAGUGCCAAGGUUGGGAAACGCUGCUUCAUACCUAUUCACAAUCCAUGGAACACUUUAUGUACUGCUGUCUUAGUCCCUAAUCAGAAAUUAUCAGGUAAAAUGCUCACUAGAAUUAAUCCUACUUCCAGAAGAGUUCUCAAAAGAGAAACCUAUAUACUCAACUCUGACGCUCAAGUCUGACCAAUUCCUAGAUACUGCUGACCUAUUCAUAUAUUCAAAUUCUAUCACUGAUAUGGGAAGCUCUGUUUGAAACAUAAACUUAAAAAGGAAUCUCUAUAUAUGAACUAUCAGUGCUAUCAGAGAAUGCUAACAUUAUGAACAUGAUGAGGAUAUAACCCUUGUUUUCUUAGAAAUGCCCACCCACAUUUAUGCUGUUUUUAGUUUAUUACUCUUGUCAAAGUUGCCAUGCAGAAUGUCUGUUGGUCAGUUGGGCACAUCUGCACACAUUUACAAUAUCUGCCACCUCUUUUAACCCUCAACCCCGCCCCACAAAAUGAGUGAUGGUGCUUGUUGAUUUGCAGAUUCACAGUCUGGUGAGACAAGUUUGAGAUCUCAUAUUUUCAGCUCAUCCUUGAAAACCUUUCUUCGAUUUGACUGACCUUGAUGGCUCCCUGGAAUCUCACCUACAUUUUAUGGGAAAUUCAACUCUCCAGAGAGAAGAGCUUUCAGAUAGCUACGGGACUUGCAACUAUGACUUUCAGCUUUCGCUUUUGAAUGAGGCUCCAAAUGUCUCAAUGGUGGCACUAUUUCCAGAUUUGGGGUAAGCCAAUUCUUUGUUGUUGGGGUUGUGCUGUGCAUUGUAGACUAUUAAGCAGCAUUCCUGGCCUCUACCCACUAGAUGCCCAUAGCACCUGCAUCCCCAUCGUAACAACCAAAACUGUCUCCAGACAUUGCCAAAUGUCCACCGCAGGCUAAAAUCACCUCCCAAUUGAGAACUAUUGAAUUAUACUAAGGUUCUCAGAAAGUCCUUCAGCAAGUUCUCAAAACUGAAUUGAUUCAAAUUGACUUGGUGAGGUCAGGGCACACAGAGAUUCUUUGUUGAUGGGAGUUGUAAAGGGCCUGCUGAACAUCUGCUCAAUGAAGUCAGGGGCUCCAGCUAAAAGGGUUGGGAAGCCCCCAUCUAUAGAAAACGUGCCGUGUACAACGUGAAAUCAAUUCCCAUGCACAACAAUGAAGAUCCCAAUUACAAUGAACAAACACGUUCUUCUGAACAGCACUUCCUCCCUGACAUUAUGUCCAUGACCCUGCACCCUGCGGGGGGCUCGGAUAUGUUACGUCUGAUUCAAAGACAACCAAAAAGAAGGAAAUAAUGAUUUCACCAAGAAAGGACACAUACCAAGGCAGGAAUAGAGCCCUGCAAAGCUAAUCUGCUCAACCUUCACCUACUGGGUUCAAUGAAUAUGAAAAGCUGCCUUCCUGAAACUUUUCCUUCAAAGAGGGAAUGAUCUCCUGGAAUUCAAGCUUCUACAGGGUGGCUACCUGGUGUUUUCCACUUUUGCCGUCUCCUAAAAAGCAUCAAUCAAGCCUUGCCCUUUCAACCCACUGAACACAUAAACAUGCUUUCUCCUUAACUGAACUUAUGGCCACGAUGAACUUGAACUCUGAGAUUCACAGAGGAGAGUUUGUUUUAACAGCUGCUUUUACAAUGAAGCCCUGGAGUUACUACUCUCAAGACCCCUGGUUCUGAUAGGCCAUCUUUUCACUGUCCUCUGCAUUUUCUAAUGCCCAGCUGUCAAGGAACACCCACUGAAGUUUUCCAAAACAAAGGCACGAAACACAAGAAAGGCAAGAGAAUGCUAAUCACCAGAGGCAUGGGCAUCCUAUGGGGGAACCCCUUACAUGUGGAAUACGGUUUUUCUCCCCAAUUUAUUUUUAUAAAUUUAUUGAUUUCUUUGCCAGUUUGUUAUUAAUUGUUAGAGAUGUCCUGUUGCCUGAGGUUGCCCUGUCCGAUAUGGUAGCCACCAGCGACAGGUAGCUAUUUAGAGUAAUUAAAAAAUUACAUUAAAAAUGCAGUUUCCUUGUCACUUAACCAUGUUUCAAGUGCUCAGUAUUAACCACAUGUGACUAGUGGCUUCCAUAAAGGAAGGCAAAAAUAGAGAACAUUUACAUCGCUGCAGAAAGCUACCAGAUUCUUUUGGCCAAGGCAUAAGCUCUUUCUCAUAAGAGAAAGGGGAUGCAGAUCUUGCUAAGAGUGAUGGAUUUCUGGGUUCAGCCUACAUGAGUCAUCUUCCAUACUACCCCUGGACAUGCUUUCCUUGGCUGCCAAUUUUCUAUUUUAUAAAUUUCAGGAAAGAGAGAUUAUGGUUGUUAAAACCAUUCAUGACACUGAUCCCACUUUAGAGAAAACAACAGCAACAAGCAAAGAAGAUGGUGUGGAGAUCCGCACAUUCCACAUCUUUUAAUUGGUACCCAUUAAAUAACAAAGGGAAAAAGUACCCUCAGACCACAACUCUCCACCUUGUGUGGAGGCCAAGGACCCAGCAGGGAGAAGGCAGAAGAUUAGGUUCUCCACUCAUCCUGGCUCUCAGACCACUGAGCUCACAUUUGGGUUCUAAUGGAAUGGUGAUUGGAAGCAUAUUCUCCAAUAGGAGGUUUUUAAAAGUUCUGUGCCAUCAGCCAGGCAGCAUCUGUCAUUUAAAAUGACUGGCCAGUUGCACAUUUAAAAGCAAAGAUAAAAUUGCUAAUUUAUACUUACUGAAUAAACAUCAGCAGUAUCCAUGAAGGUACCUACCCUAAUAGCAAGUUGUAUUUUUAUUUUUAUGGUGGUGGCGAAGCUGCCAGGAAAACCAAAGCAUCAGUUCUUUAAUUACAUUUGUUUAGUAUUGAUUUAAUACUAAAAUUUCUCUUGCUCCCUUAGAACAAAGAGCUCUAACUUGUACACUGCUGUAUCCUUAGCACCUGGAACAGUCCCUGGCCUACAGUAGGCACUUAGAAAGUAUUUGUUAAAAAUUGAUUUUUUUUUUUUAAAGAAACAACCCAGAGUUUUUUUAUUCUGCCCCAACCCCCAACCCCUGGCAUUAAAAUAAAUCUUCCUCAACUGCCAUCACUAAUCGCCAGGAUUCCCUCCUAGCCAAUUAUGCUUGGACUCAACCUCUACCUCCCACUCCACAUUCCAAAGUUUCUAUUUCUUUCCAUUCCAGAAGGGCAACUCCACAACAGGAGUGAGGGAGAGGACCUGGACUCCUCCUCAGAGUCCAAUAACACUCCUAACCCUGCUCCCCCAACCUGUGGACUUUUUAAAUCCAUGAAAAUAGAAACUGUCAAGCUACCACAAAAUAGCAUCAGAAGGCAGGAUCAGUCUUUCAUAGGCAUACAAUCUCUGUAAAUACUGAAAAAAGAUUAUUAAAAGCCUGCUAAGUUUUGUCUCCAGUGAAAUAGAUGCAGGCAAGUAUUUUGAUUGUUCUGAACACAUUAGAGAUGAGUGCUACACAGAACUAAGGUAAACUUUGUAAAUUCAUAUGUCAUAACACUUUGUUCCACAAAAAACUAUCUUAUUUUUUAUACUCCAUACUGAUACAGCCAAAUAAUGUGGCUCUUAUUUUCUAAAGAUGCCAGCAAUAUGUUUAAACAUGUCUUCAUUGUAGUAAAAGUAUCAUAUUUAUAAAAAAUACAUAUGCAUUUAAUGUGAUAUUCCUUAUAGUCAAAAUCUUGAUAUCAUCCUCCUAAUCUGGCUAGGAAUGUAUCUGCAAAAUGAAAGAGAGGAAUAUUUUGCCAUUCCCUAAACAACAGUUGUUUGAAGCUUUUGUAAUUGCUGGUUAUGGGAAUUUACCAAUAACAGGAAUGAAUUUGGAUUUUCUUUUGCUGGAAUCAAAUGGACAAUGUCAUAAUUAGCUAAAUAAUGUUGAGGCUAAAUGAAGUUUGAGUUUUAGGCACAUCCUUUAUGGAAUAUAAACAGGAACCUAAAAGUUCAUUCUGAACAUAGGUUGUUUCUUUCUGCCAAAACAAGAUUAAUAGUCAGUACCCUAACGACGAGGUCCUAUCACUGAAGUAGAUUAUCGGCUAGUCAAAUGGGUUCCUAACAGCACCUCCCUCAUGGGUUAAAAGAAGAGGGUUAAUGUGAUGUGUAUUUGCUUAAUUUGGCUUGUUAUACAGUAAACACACAGCAAACGUUAGCUAUUGUUAUCUUCAUUUCCUUUGGAGAAGUUAUCUUAUUUCUCACCUUAUUAAAAAUAAACCCUAACUCAUACAGGGACCCUCCUUACCUUGGUCCUUUCACCCAUGAAUACCAUAAUAACCUAUACUGCAAAAAGGAGGCUCAGGAGGAGGAUGAGGUAUCAAUAGGCCUCCGGGUCAUUUUUAGGAUUUAGGUAUUUUUUGAAAAGGGUAGGCUCUCUUGAAACUUCCAAGGUAGUUGUUGUAGUAUUUUAUUUUCCUUUAAUAAGAAAUGCUUUCUGAAAUGUAUUGCAGUGAACAAAUAACAAAAUUGACAAAUGCUGUAAGCCUUUUGCAGUUAUCUGAACACAAAGAAUAAAGUGUAAUCAAAUUUA